rnacentral:rRNA from 1 species
AACGGGGGGAGCUAGUGUUAUCGUCUUACCUGGGCGUAAAGGGUAUGUCGGUGCUAGAUAAAGGUUAAAUUAAAUGCUUGAUAGUCAUCAUUCACGUUUAUUCGAUAUCUAUCUUGAAUUUAGGGGGGAAAGCCGUAUUCUUUAUGGAAAAGUGAAAUUUGCGAUAUAAGGAAGACGGUCAGUGGUGAAAACAGCUUUCUUCUAAGUAUUGACACUAAGGUACGAAAGCAUGGGUAUGAAGAGG